AAGUCGUAACAAGGUUUCCGUAGGUGAACCUGCGGAAGGAUCAUUAACACGUGAUACUAAACACGUAUUAAACACGAACCGUGAACUGUUAUUAUGUCCUAUGCGAGAACGAGGGCGAUGUGAGGUCAAUUGGUGUGAGUCUUAAUUGUGCUCUUGGCUUCUAUUCUAUGUGGUCCGACCACAAACCCUUGCCUCGUUAUAGAUGAUGAAUUUCGGCUGUCCAAGCAUGCACCUUUGCUAGCAGUCGGGGUGAACUUUAUUAACCCAUUUUUUACUAUUAACUACUGAUUUGUAUGUCGUUAUGAAUUCCCUUUCAUUAGGUUGAGCUUAUAACGAUGUCGUAUAUUACUAAUACGAAACAACUCUUAGCAACGGAUAUCUUGGUUCUC
rnacentral:misc_RNA from 1 species